GAAUAAUCGAAAAAAAGUUUCUUCGUUAUACACAAAAUCUAAAAUUGAUAUAUUUCUUUAGAUGAGACUAAUAUGGUUAAUCAUUAUUGCGAUAUAAAAUAUUUGAAUAUACUUUUUAUUAGUAAAAUAUAAUAAUGUAAAAAACAUGCAUAACAUAUUUCGUUCCAUGGAUAGAUCAUUGUUUUAGGUCGGACGUUACGAAGGUAUACAGAAAACAAGGUAAUUUAAUUUAUAUACUGAAAGCAACGAUAAAGCAUUGCAUCCUGCACUCAGCAGAUUGUCCACUCGACAAUCUGUUGGGAGUCUAGAAAAUUGUUUCAAACAAAGUACCGCAGAAUGGAAAAUUCACAUUGAAAUACUCUGAGUGUUUUAUACUAACGAAUAAGUGUUUUUCAAAAAAGAGAAAAAUCUAGUAAAAAUAUUAUUACUUCUUCGUUACACACUAUGGCUAAAAGUCUAAAAUACGUGAC